UACGUAGGGUGCAAGCGUUAAUCGGAAUUACUGGGCGUAAAGCGUGCGCAGGCGGUGAUGUAAGACAGAUGUGAAAUCCCCGGGCUCAACCUGGGAACUGCAUUUGUGACUGCAUCGCUGGAGUGCGGCAGAGGGGGGAUGGAAUUCCGCGUGUAGCAGUGAAAUGCGUAGAUAUGCGGAGGAACACCGAUGGCGAAGGCAGCCCCCCUGGGCUAACACUGACGCCUCAGGCACGAAAGCGUGGGGAGCAAACAGG
rnacentral:rRNA from 1 species